GACGAACCGUGCAAACGUUGUUCGGAAUCACUGGGCUUAAAGGGAGCGUAGGCGGUCGCGUAAGUCUGUGGUGAAAUCCUCCGGCUCAACCGGAGAACUGCCAUGGAAACUAUGCGUCUAGAAUGAGGUAGGGGCAUGCGGAACGGAUGGUGGAGCGGUGAAAUGCGUUGAUAUCAUUCGGAACUCCGGUGGCGAAGGCGGCAUGCUGGACCUCUAUUGACGCUGAGGCUCGAAAGCCAGGGGAGCAAACGGG
rnacentral:rRNA from 1 species